rnacentral:rRNA from 1 species
GACGAACGCUGGCGGCGUGCUUAACACAUGCAAGUCGAACGGAGAGGCCCUGCUUUUGUGGGGUGCUCGAGUGGCGAACGGGUGAGUAACACGUGAGUAACCUGCCCUUGACUUUGGGAUAACUUCAGGAAACUGGGGCUAAUACCGGAUAGGAGCUCCUGCUGCAUGGUGGGGGUUGGAAAGUUUCGGCGGUUGGGGAUGGACUCGCGGCUUAUCAGCUUGUUGGUGGGGUAGUGGCUUACCAAGGCUUUGACGGGUGGCCGGCCUGAGAGGGUGACCGGCCACAUUGGGACUGAGAUACGGCCCAGACUCCUACGGGAGGCAGCAGUGGGGAAUAUUGCACAAUGGGCGGAAGCCUGAUGCAGCAACGCCGCGUGCGGGAUGACGGCCUUCGGGUUGUAAACCGCUUUCGCCUGUGACGAAGCGUGAGUGACGGUAAUGGGUAAAGAAGCACCGGCUAACUACGUG